rnacentral:rRNA from 1 species
GACGAACGCUGGCGGCGUGCUUAACACAUGCAAGUCGAACGGUAAGGCUCCAGCUUGCUGGGGUACACGAGUGGCGAACGGGUGAGUAACACGUGGGUGACCUGCCCUGCACUUCGGGAUAAGCCUGGGAAACUGGGUCUAAUACCGGAUAGGACCAUGGUGUGGAUACUGUGGUGGAAAGUUUUUUCGGUGUGGGAUGGGCCCGCGGCCUAUCAGCUUGUUGGUGGGGUAAUGGCCUACCAAGGCGGCGACGGGUAGCCGGCCUGAGAGGGUGGACGGCCACAUUGGGACUGAGGCACGGCCCAGACGCCUACGGGAGGCAGCAGUGGGGAAUAUUGCACAAUGGGCGGAAGCCUGAUGCAGCGACGCCGCGUGGGGGAUGACGGCCUUCGGGUUGUAAACUCCUUUCGCCAUCGACGAAGGGUUUCUGACGGUAGAUGGAGAAGAAGCACCGGCUAACUACGUG